rnacentral:rRNA from 1 species
AGUGAACGCUGGCGGUAGGCCUAACACAUGCAAGUCGAACGGCAGCACAGUAAGAGCUUGCUCUUACGGGUGGCGAGUGGCGGACGGGUGAGGAAUACAUCGGAAUCUACUUUUUCGUGGGGGAUAACGUAGGGAAACUUACGCUAAUACCGCAUACGACCUACGGGUGAAAGCAGGGGAUCUUCGGACCUUGCGCGAUUGAAUGAGCCGAUGUCGGAUUAGCUAGUUGGCGGGGUAAAGGCCCACCAAGGCGACGAUCCGUAGCUGGUCUGAGAGGAUGGUCAGCCACACUGGAACUGAGACACGGUCCAGACUCCUACGGGAGGCAGCAGUGGGGAAUAUUGGACAAUGGGCGCAAGCCUGAUCCAGCCAUACCGCGUGGGUGAAGAAGGCCUUUGGGUUGUAAAGCCCUUUUGUUGGGAAAGAAAAGCAGCAGGUUAAUACCCCGCUGUUCUGACGGUACCCAAAGAAUAAGCACCGGCUAACUUCGUG